rnacentral:misc_RNA from 1 species
GAAUAUUCUUGAUGGGUUGUAGCUGGCUCUCCGGAGCAUGUGCACACUUGUCUUGACUUUAUUCAUCCACCUGUGCACCUUUUGUAGUCUUGGGGGUUGAAAGCAGUCGACUAUCGGAUGGCUAUAAUAGCCUUUCCGGACGUGAGGAAUGCUGGGUGCGAAAGCAUACAGCUCUUCUCAAAUGACUACUCCUCUCCUUCAAGUACUAUGUAUUCAUAUACCACAUAGUAUGUCGUAGAAUGUGAUCAAUGGGAUAAUCAUAUACAACUUUCAGCAACGGAUCUCUUGGCUCU